rnacentral:lncRNA from 1 species
CUUAAGGUAAUAAACUGGGAGUUCAAUCGCUGCACAGCAUAAUCGAGGCCAGAUCACAAGCUGGGAUCAGCCAUCAGCCGAGGGGCCAGGUGGCUUCUCCGUGUUCUGUGGUCAACGACCUCCUGUGCGGCGUGUGCUUGGUCAUAAAGGAACAGGUGUGACAGGUGGGUAAGUCACUGUGACAGCUACCCACACACAGACAAGCACAUUCUCAAAGCACAUAUCCCUCUGACCUCAAAUCCACACACCAAGGGAAACAGACCUAAAAAGGACUUUGUGUUUAGUCUCCUGAUCUGCAGAAGGAUACGCCCCUCACCGGAGGGGGCCAUGGAAAGUUGGCUCACUGCUUGUGACUCCCUGAGGUGGCGUGGGGCGUGAGCAAGAGCCUGGGCUCUGUGGUCUGACACAGCUCUGAGCGCCUCUCCCGCCACCUGUCAGAUGUGCGACCUCGGAAAUCUUACAGCAAAUCAGGCUGCUAAGCCUCAGAAAACACAAGGCUCUUCCAAAUUUCAGAGUACAACAAUGUGAUGGGGUCAGAAGAGAAAAUGCUGUAGAGCAAUGGGAAAGGGAAACCUGUAGAAACUGGCGUUGGACAAGAGAGCAAAGUUCAGGGAGAAAUUCUCUCCCAUACUGGCAACCAAAACAAGACUCACCCUGAAUCUGACACAGCUGGUCCACUCAGUCCCUUCCACCUCAGUGACUUUUAAGGGUCACAAAAAGCUCUUCAGGCUGAACUAAGCAAAUCUCGGGAAAGUUCAGGAAAAAGAUGCAGUGACCGACACACUUUGUCUUGGUCAUGCCGUCGCUAGCCAUCUCUCCUCAGAAAAGCAUUCCUCUAGUUCGAGGGAUGAGCUGACAGGAAACAAGUUUUAAG